GUAGCUAACGCGAGAAGUUGACCGCCUGGGGAGUACGGCCGCAAGGUUAAAACUCAAAGGAAUUGACGGGGACCCGCACAAGCGUGAUGAUGUGGAUUAAUUCGAUGCAACGCGAAAAACCUUACCUGCUCUUGACAUGUACCGAAUGCCGAAGAGAUUUGGCAGUGCCCGAAAGGGAGCGGUAACACAGGUGCUGCAUGGCUGUCGUCAGCUCGUGUCGUGAGAUGUUGGGUUAAGUCCCGCAACGAGCGCAACCCUUGUCAUUAGUUGCCAUCAUUAAGUUGGGCACUCUAAUGAGACUGCCGGUGACAAACCGGAGGAAGGUGGGGAUGACGUCAAGUCCUCAUGGCCCUUAUGAGCAGGGCUUCACACGUCAUACAAUGGUCGGUACAGAGGGGGAAGCCGCGAGGUGGAGCCAAUCUCAAAAAACCGAUCGUAGUCCGGAUCGCAUCUGCAACUCGAGUGCGGAAGUCGACGCUAAUGGAGU
rnacentral:rRNA from 1 species